GACGAACGCUGGCGGCGUGCUUAACACAUGCAAGUCGAACGGAAAGGCCCUGCUUUUGUGGGGUGCUCGAGUGGCGAACGGGUGAGUAACACGUGAGUAACCUGCCCUUGACUUUGGGAUAACUUCAGGAAACUGGGGCUAAUACCGGAUAGGAGCUCCUGCUGCAUGGUGGGGGUUGGAAAGUUUCGGCGGUUGGGGAUGGACUCGCGUCUUAUCAGCUUGUUGGUGGGGUAGUGGCUUACCAAGGCUUUGACGGGUAGCCGGCCUGAGAGGGUGACCGGCAACAUUGGGACUGAGAUACGGCCCAGACUCCUACGGGAGGCAGCAGUGGGGAAUAUGGCACAAUGGGCGGAAGCCUGAUGCAGCAACGCCGCGUGCGGGAUGACGGCCUACGGGUUGUAAACCGCUUUCGCCUGUGACGAAGCGUGAGUGACGGUAAUGGGUAAAGAAGCACCGGCUAACUACGUG
rnacentral:rRNA from 1 species